AACCUUUUUAAAUGCAUUCCAGAGAGUUUGCAAAGAGGGCAAUAACAGAGACACCGAGCACACGACUAAAGUGACGUGUACGGUUUUUCUAGGCCUCUUUGCGCAUACUCGCAAAGAGGCUUUUUUAAU
rnacentral:sRNA from 3 species